CAACACGUGCGGAAGGCAAUUCCUCUCCUAGUUAAUUUCUCCAUGGAAGAACUCUAUUUAAUCCACCCAUCUCUUAAUAAUCCACCACCAUAUUUUCCCCAUCUCUCUUCAAUCCAUCCAUUAUUUUCAGUUUCUCUGAUCCUUUUUUUCUCAUAUCAUAUUGUGACCCUAAGAAUCAAUCUCACACUAAAAAGCUCACAAAUUGUCUUUGAGAUUGAUGGUGACCAAGAGGGGAGGAACAUCUGAACAUGAGAAAUUGAAAAGAUUAUACAGAAACAAUGACUUUGCUGUUAAGAGACUUAAACUCUGCUUUAUAAUUGACCAGUUUAUCGCCUAGGGCCAUCCAAAAGUUAGGGCGGGCCCUGCACACCACCAUUGACGCCCACCCUCCCCACCCAGCCAUUAGACCCUUGGCGACGACCUCCCUACACAGAGCAUCUUCGAAAUCUCCGCCAAUCUUCAAGUCUCGAAGCCGGUUAUUCACAAGUUUCUCGAUAAUCGUGUUUGGGCCAUGCCCUACCCA